AGCUCAGUUGGUAGAGCGUGAUAUUAAUGCUGCCAGUGUUGGGGGGGGGUUCAAUUCCCACUGGUGCCACCA